CUCCUACGGGAGGCAGCAGUUAGGAAUCUUGCACAAUGGGGGCAACCCUGAUGCAGCGACACAGCGUGGAGGAUGAAGGUCUUCGGAUUGUAAACUCCUUUUAUAUGGGACGAAUAGAUGACGGUACCAUAUGAAUAAGUACCUGCUAACUACGUGCCAGAAGCAUCGGUGAUGCGUAGGGUACGAACGUUAUCCGGAUUAAUUGGGCGUAUAGAGAAGCGUAGGCGUUUUUGUCAGUCUUUAGUUAAAUACCACGGCCUAACCGUGGGAAAGCUCGAGAUACUGCAAAAAUUGAGACAGGAAUGGGCGAAUGGAAUUCCCAGUGGAGCAGUGAAAUGCGUUGAUAUUGGGAGGAACAUCAGUGGCGAAGGCGAUUCGCUGGUCCUUGUCUGACGCUAAGGCUCGAAAGCGUGGGUAGCAAAACGGAUUAGAUACCCGUGUAGUCCACGCCGUAAACAAUGGAUGCUAGGUGUUUGGUACAACUACCUAAUCCUUCGGGAUUGGAUGGAAGUAUUGAGUGCCGCAGCUAACGCGUUAAGCAUCCCGCCUGGGAAGUACGGCCGCAAGGCUAAAACUCAAAUGAAUUGGCGGGGACCCGCACAAGCGGAGGAGCGCGUGGUUUAAUUCGACGGCAAUCGAAGAACCUUACCAGGGUUUGAAAUGUAUCUGCAUGCCCCUAGAAAUAGGGGAGGCUUUCGAAGGUGAUACACAGGUGCUGCAUGGCCGUCGUCAGCUCGUGUCGUGAGAUGUUGGGUUAAGUCCCGAAACGAGCGCAACCCCUAUCCUAUGUUACAAGUGUCUUAGGAAACUGCCUCGGUAAAACGGGGAGGAAGGUGGGGAUGACGUCUGGUCCGCAUAGCCCUUAUGUCCUGGGCGACACACGCGCUACAAUGGCCGAUACAAUGGGAAGCCAAAUCGUAAGAUGGAGCAAAUCCUAUAAAGUCGGUCUCAGUUCGGAUUGAGGUCUGAAACUCGACCUCAUGAAGUUGGAUUCGCUAGUAAUCGUGGAUCAGCCAUGCCACGGUGAAUACGUUCUCGGGUCUUGCACACACCGCCCGUCAAGCCAUGGAAGUAGGUGAUACCCGAAGGUGUUCCGCUCCUUGUGAGUGGGAUGACGAAGGUAACGCUUAUGACUGGGGUUAAGUCGUAACAAGGUAACCGUA
rnacentral:rRNA from 1 species